UACGUAGGGGCCUAGCGUUGUCCGGAAUUAUUGGGCGUAAAGAGCUCGUAGGCGGUUCGGCAAGUCGGAUGUGAAAUCUCCACGCUUAACGUGGAGGGGCCAUUCGAAACUGCUGUGACUCGAGUCCGGGUAGGGGAGUGUGGAAUUCCCGGUGUAGCGGUGAAAUGCGCAGAUAUCGGGAGGAACACCAAUGGCGAAGGCGAGCUCGCUGGGACGGUACG
rnacentral:rRNA from 1 species